rnacentral:lncRNA from 10 species
AAAUCUCCUCUCCAGAAGCAGAGGGAGCCGGGGCUCCGACGCGCUCAGCGUCGGGCUGUCUGCCUCUCCCUAGAGGCCAAGUGAAUUUGAAAUGGCAAAAGUCACAGCCGGAGGCCCAGCACUAGGAGAUUCCUCCGGCUGCGGGAAAUCUUCCUGUACCUGCUGAAGCUGCUGCGUUCCUCAGAGGCGCUUGGUCUGCCGUGGGAAGCUGCACCUCUGCAGUCCCCAAAACCAAAAUCAAACCUUAAAAGAGCCAGACUGAGGCAGAGGUGCUGAGCAGCUAAUUGGAGGGGAUAGUAUGAGCCUCCAAAGAUUAGGGAAGAAAAUUGCAGUUGAAGAAAACUUGCUUUGGUUCAAUGCAAAAAUAAUGGGAUGAAUGGCAUGCUGAAAUAUCAUAUGACUUACGAAAAUGAUGAAUGUGAUUCCCAAACUCAAUAAGAGGAGAAAUGAUGACAAGAAGCAAAGGCCGUCUACAGCCCUCACGUUAGGUUUAUUGAAUCUACAUAUGUGGAACCCAUGAAUGGGAGUCGGAGAAGGGGGCAACUGUAUACGCAAAAAGCUAUCAUAAUUGCCAAAAUAGUGAUAACAAUGUUGAAACACUACUGGGAUUACUACUGUUAAUGACUACCAGUGAUCAAGCACCUCCCCUGCCCCAGUGUUUGCCUGCCUUGUUUGAAGACACGAAAAAAUGUACACAAAAUGAUUUAGAACUGUUGAACUUUUCAGAAAAUAAUUUAAAAUCAUCUACCUCAUAACUAAAGGUGAAGGAAAUGAAGUAGAAGGAUGUUACAUACCUUGUUCAAAGUGACAUAGCUGAGUCUGCUUGGACUGUGGUUCAAGCCAUGCAGCCUAACUCUAGAACCCAUGCUUUGCUACCUGACUUUCCAGACGUAGGAGGCAAAUACCAUAAUCAGCUCCUUGUUUAGAGGUGUAGGAAUUGAGGCCCAGAAAAAAUAAGUAACUUGUCCAAAAUAUGUAGUGAAAUUGGUACUUGAACUUUUG